AUUCAACACCUGCCACACAAGAUAUGAACACUACAACAGCUGCAACACCGACACCAAUUAUAACAAAUUCAACAACAGAUGUGAACAUGACAACGCCAGUUGUAACAAAUUCAUCAACAGCUGUGAUCACAACAGAGGUUUCCACAACACCCAUGACAAUUAUAACAAAUUCAACAGCUGUCACCAUAACAGAAAUGAACACUACUGCAACUGCAACACCAACACCAACAGCAAUUGUAACAA